GACGAACGCUGGCGGCGUGCUUAACACAUGCAAGUCGAACGGAAAGGCCCUGCUUUUGUGGGGUGCUCGAGUGGCGAACGGGUGAGUAACACGUGAGUAACCUGCCCUUGACUUUGGGAUAACUUCAGGAAACUGGGGCUAAUACCGGAUAGGAGCUCCUGCUGCAUGGUGGGGGUUGGAAAGUUUCGGCGGUUGGGGAUGGACUCGCGGCUUAUCAGCUUGUUGGUGGGGUAGUGGCUUACCAAGGCUUUGACGGGUAGCCGGCCUGAGAGGGUGACCGGCCACAUUGGGACUGAGAUACGGCCCAGCGUCCUACGGGAGGCAGAAGUGGGGAAUAUUGCACAAUGGGCGGACGCCUGAUGCAGCAACGCCGCGUGCGGGAUGACGGCCUUCGGGUUGUAAACCGCUUUCGCCUGUGACGAAGCGUGAGUGACGGUAAUGGGUAAAGAAGCACCGGCUAACUACGUG
rnacentral:rRNA from 1 species